ensembl:lncRNA
CUUGUUGUUGUGGAACUGUUUCACAUACACAGACAACACUUUAUCAUCACCAUGGGUACUUCCCCGCUGAUGAUAACGCUAGAAAACCCGGUAAAAGACGUGUGUCAACUCUGUGACAAGCCUUUUGAUGAUAAAAGAAACAAACAUAAUUUGAUAAUCAGCAUCCAGAAGCCGAAGCCUUCCUACACUUUGGCUCUGGAGGAGCUAACCGGGCUCCUUAUCACCAGGGAAGACUUGCUAGCGGUGUGUAGCUCCUGCAGAACUUUACUAAACCGAUAUCACAGAAGCUCGUGAGAAGCUGAGCGGAUCGCUGCAGUGGUUCAAUCCAUGUCAGUGAUUCGCACUGCUUCCAGAAAUAGGCGUCAAAUUAACUCCGACCGAAGACUGUUGUACCCGAAAAUGGAUCAACAACAAGCACCAAAGUCCUCCGAAACAGAAUCUGGGAUCCUCUGAGAUGUAUGUCACUUUGAUGUAUGGAGUGAUCUGCUUGAGCAGCAGCAUCACGGCUGCAGACAGGAAGAGACUCAACAAACUGGUAAAGAAAGCCAGUUCUGUCCUGGGCUGAACCCUUGAUCCUGUGGAGGUGGUGGGAGACAGGAGGAUGAUGACAAAGCUGUUGUCUAUCAUGAAGGACACCUCCCACCCCGUGCAGGAAACAGUAAGAUCACUGGGCAGCUCCUUCAGUGACAGACUGCUUCACCCACAGUGUCUAAAGGAGAGAUACUGCAGGUCCUUCCUUCCUGCUGCAGUUAGACUUUACAAUCAAGCCUUCUCCCAGUAGUUCAGUUCACCCACUUACAAACUGUGUAAUAAAAAUGUAAAUUAUGAUGCUGUGCAGUUUCAUAGAAAUUUUGAAAUUUUGCUGUAAAUAGUGUAUUUUUUUUUCUAGAAGGAGAAACUAUUUAUAUAUAUGCACUAUGUAUUGUUUGUGCUGCUCUCUUUUUUAUUCAAAGUGUUCUAUUUGCUUCUGUUACACUGUAAAUUUCCCCGCUGUGGCAUCAAUAAAGGUUCUAUCUAUCUAUCUAUCUAUCUAUCUAU